CCUACGGGUGGCAGCAGUGGGGAAUAUUGGACAAUGGGGGGAACCCUGAUCCAGCCAUGCCGCGUGUGUGAAGAAGGCCCUCGGGUUGUAAAGCACUUUCAGUGAGGAAGAACGCCUGGUGGUUAAUACCCAUCAGGAAAGACAUCACUCACAGAAGAAGCACCGGCUAACUCCGUGCCAGCAGCCGCGGUAAUACGGAGGGUGCGAGCGUUAAUCGGAAUUACUGGGCGUAAAGUGCGCGUAGGUGGCUUGAUAAGCCGGUUGUGAAAGCCCCGGGCUCAACCUGGGAACGGCAUCCGGAACUGUCAAGCUAGAGUGCAGGAGAGGAAGGUAGAAUUCCCGGUGUAGCGGUGAAAUGCGUAGAGAUCGGGAGGAAUACCAGUGGCGAAGGCGGCCUUCUGGACUGACACUGACACUGAGGUGCGAAAGCGUGGGUAGCAAACAGGAUUAGAUACCCCAGUAGUC
rnacentral:rRNA from 1 species